rnacentral:rRNA from 1 species
CAAUAGCGUAUAUUAAAGUUGUUGCAGUUAAAAAGCUCGUAGUUGGAUUUCUGGUGGGAGCGAUCGGUCUGGCGCUUAGCGCGAGUACUUGCAUCGUCUCCGGCCAUCCUUGGGGAGAGUCUGUCUGGCAUUAGGUUGUCGGGCAGAGGAUCCUCAUCGUUUACUGUGAAAAAAUUAGAGUGUUCAAAGCAGGCUUAUGCCGUUGAAUAUAUUAGCAUGGAAUAAUAAGAUAGGACUUUGGUACUAUUUUGUUGGUUUGCGCACCAAAGUAAUGAUUAAUAGGGACAGUUGGGGGUAUUCGUAUUCCGUUGUCAGAGGUGAAAUUCCUGGAUUUACGGAAGACGAACUACUGCGAAAGCAUUUACCAAGGAUGUUUUCAUUAA